GAUGAAGAACGUAUCGAAAUGCGAUAAGUAAUGUGAAUUGCAGAAUUCAGUGAAUCAUCGAAUCUUUGAACGCACAUUGCGCCCCCUGGUAUUCCGGGGGGCAUGCCUGUUCGAGCGUCAUUUCACCACUCAAGCCUCGCUUGGUAUUGGGCAACGCGGUCCGCCGCGUGCCUCAAAUCGUCCGGCUGGGUCUUCUGUCCCCUAAGCGUUGUGGAAACUAUUCGCUAAAGGGUGUUCGGGAGGCUACGCCGUAAAACAACCCCAUUUCUAAGGUUGACCUCGGAUCAGGUAGGGAUACCCGCUGAACUUAAGCAUAUCAAUAAGCGGAGGA
rnacentral:misc_RNA from 1 species